UACGAAGGUCCCGAGCGUUGUUCGGAAUCACUGGGCGUAAAGGGUGCGUAGGCUGCACGGUAAGUCAGAUGUGAAAUCCCAGAGCUCAACUUUGGAAUUGCAUCCGAUACUGCCGUGCUUGAGGACUGGAGAGGAGUCUGGAAUUCAUGGUGGAGCAGUGAAAUGCGUAGAUAUCAUGAGGAACGCUAGCGGCGUAGGCGAGACUCUGGACAGUUUCUGACGCUGAGGCACGAAGGCCAGGGGAGCAAACGGG
rnacentral:rRNA from 1 species